GUCUAUGGCCAUGCCACCCUGAACAAGCCCGAUCCCAUCUGAUCUUGGAAGCUAAGCUAAGCAGGGUUGAGCCUGGUUAGUACUUGGAUGGGAGACCACCUGGGAAGACCAGGUGCCGUAGGCA
rnacentral:rRNA from 1 species